rnacentral:rRNA from 1 species
UGAGGAAUAUUGGUCAAUGGGCGAGAGCCUGAACCAGCCAAGCCGCGUGAAGGAUGAAGGUGCUCAGCAUCGUAAACUUCUUUUGUCAGGGAAUAACGGACGUCACGUGUGGCGUUAUGAAUGUACCUGAAGAAAAAGCAUCGGCUAACUCCGUGCCAGCAGCCGCGGUAAUACGGAGGAUGCGAGCGUUAUCCGGAUUUAUUGGGUUUAAAGGGUGCGUAGGCUGUCGGUUAAGUCAGCGGUGAAAGCCCGGGGCUCAACCCCGGCGAGCCGUUGAAACUGGUCGGCUGGAGUUGGUGAAAGGUAUGCGGAAUGCGCAGUGUAGCGGUGAAAUGCUUAGAUAUUGCGCAGAACUCCGAUUGCGAAGGCAGCAUACCGGUGCCACACUGACGCUGAGGCACGAAAGCGUGGGUAUCGAACAGG